ACCGCCUGGGAAUACCGGGUGCUGUAGGCUU
rnacentral:piRNA from 9 species